UCAGGACUUUCCUUCCUCUCUCUGGCUAUGCUGUGGCUAUUGAAACAAGGGUGGGGGGGAGCAACUGACAGCCCUCAUUAGGCCUGAAGCUGUGAGUCUGACUGUGUCCAGCGGGUCUAGAGUGGCCCAGCAGGGGAUGCCGGGAACCUCAUGCUGGCUCUGGUUUAUGGUAAUAUGAACGAGUGGAUCAGAAUGUCAGCGGUGGAAGGGACCUUUGGGAUCCUUUCAUCAAUCCAACCUUCCUUUACAGAUGAAGAAAAUGAGAGCCAGAGAAGAGAAGGAUUUCUUCAAGGUCACACGGUGAAUAUGUCACAGCCAGAACUAGAACUCAGGUCCCUUCACGAAUGGCUUGGUGGCUUUCCUGUUACACAUGGACCCCGAAGGUCCUUCAUGUUGCACACGAGUGUGCUUUCAGCCAGAAUUUUGUGGUGCUCAGUGGAAGUCUGGAGCCUGUAUGUUUCUUCAUCUCUCACCACUGCACCGGUUGGCCCCACCCUCAGAUCAAACAGCAUGAUGGCCCUGGAGAGAUGAGCUGGAGUAGAUGAGGCAGCCUCUCUAGAAGCAGCUCUGGUUUACAGAAGGAGAAAAUGCCAACUGGUUUUUUAUGCCAUAAAAACACAUCCAUCAUCCAAAUACAGCCAGUCAGGAGAGUCUGACCUGUGUGGCUGACCUCUGGAGCCGGGCUGUGGUCUCAGCCAUGUGGAGACUGCGGGAGAAGUCAGUGUAGCUCUGACCACCAGGCUCACUGGCUGGCUCGCUCUACCUGCUCCAGGUGCCGUUGGCUCUGACUUGAAGGUAGAAGAAGCCGGAGGCAACUUUCCCAGCCAGCACACAGCGUCAUUUCUGUUUCUUGAAGAAGGCACCCUGGUUCCAUAAAUAAAGAUCCUUGGGGUGAGUUGACA
rnacentral:lncRNA from 1 species